rnacentral:rRNA from 1 species
AGCGAACGUUAGCGGCAGGCCUAACACAUGCAAGUCGCACGAGGAAUCCGGGCUUCGGCCGGUAGUAAAGUGGCGGACGGGUGAGUAACNCGUGGAUAAUCUGCCCUUCGGCGGGGGACAACAGUCCGAAAGGGACUGACUAAUACCGCAUACGUCGGCGAGGUCUUCGGAUCUUGGCCGGGAAAGAUGGCCUCUUCAUGAAAGCUA